rnacentral:lncRNA from 1 species
CAAGAGAAAAAGAGAAAAAGGAAAAGUAAAAUGUACCCGAGUACUUAUCAAAAAUCUACACCAAUCACAAAAAGAAAACCGAGACUGACCAAAAUUUCACUGCGAAAGAGUGAAUUCUCUUCAAUACAAAAAACCUCAACAACCAAAUGACCAAUUCGGCACUUCACCACCCCCUAGCCGAAUUUCCCACACUCAAACUCCCCCAAACGACACACUAUCUCCCUCCUAAUCAAACUCCUCAAUUCUCUCCUAAAAUCCCUCCACCGAAAUUUUCUCCUUGAUUUACUCCAACUCCCUAUUCAAAUUCAAUUCAAAUGCUUAUGACUAAUUCAACCACAGAGUUCCAGUCCAGUUGCAACACUUCCCCAGCUCAAGUAGCAAAAUAAACAUACAAUUGCACAUGCCAUGCCCUGAACCUCGGACUCCUUGUCACACAUGAAGCACCAC